AUAUAUUUUAGUUAGAAAAUCAGUUUUAACAUCAUAUUUUAGGCACUUAUCUGGUUGUGCUUAACAAUCCGAAUUCAACGUUAUCAAAUAGUAAAACGUACAGGUGUAGUUGCCGAACGAAUGCCCAACGAAUGGCCAUUAUAAUUAUUUGGUGAUUUUAUAGACCUUACGUUUUUUCGAUGACGGUAGUAACCCUGGAUCCGCAGCAAUAAUUGGUGGAAGUGUAGCAGCUGCAGUUAUCGCACUUGUCUUGGCCACUGGCUUCUUUGUAGUGUUUUGGGUUAAACGGCGUCAAAUAAGACAGACACAUUGCGACUAUGAGUCGAGUGUACCUAGAACUGAUGUUUCAGAUAUGCACGUUUACGCUGAAUUAUCAGAUGGUUCCGUCGAUAACGCCCCUGCUACCGAAGCGUAUUCACAAGAAUAUGAAAACAGUGCUUUCAGCCCAUCAUCCUUCAUUAACUUUGUUUUCACGUCGAAACAAUUGAAUGAUGAUUCUGUUUUACUGAAUUUAUACAAAUAUGUAUAUCGAAUCUUAAUGCUUACUUACAUAAAUAGCAUUUUCUUUCAUUUUUAUUCACUGACUUUAAACAUAAUCAGAACAUGGUAUAAGUACUAAUUAGCAUGGUGUUAAUUGGUGUGCAUGUAUUUAUGUAUUUCUCGUUCUAAAUAUACACUUUUAUAUAUAAUGCCCAUGCGUUUAUCAUUGUAAGGACUGCUGGCUAUUGUGUUAGUGUCCGGAUGAUAUUUGUAUGAGUACGCUUUGUUGGUCAUGUAAGGUUUGUUAAAAACAAAACAAACACUUUCUUAUGUGUUAAUACUUGAUAUGGAAUCUAUACAUGUUAUUGAUAGUGUUUGAGAACAGUAAAGAUAAACAUUAUUCUACCAUCACACGGUUUAAGAUUUCCUUUACAAAUUUCUUAAAAUUUGUAUUGCGCUCGACUUUUUAGUUAAGAUGUUGAGAAGCAAACCAUUACAUCACUGAUUCCUCCGCGACUUUAACUAAGAUUAAACAUACCCUUUUUAGGGUGUCAAUAUAUCUGUACCUAACGAUUUGCGGACUAAAUAUGUGAUGAAGUCGCGUUCAAACCAGUCUUUCCCAACAUGUUCAGUGUACAGGGCUGCUCCAGUUUUCUCGAAGGUGUAGACGUAUUAACGAGUAACAAACAAAUAAAAUUAUGUUAAGAGUGAUUCUGCUUUUAUGUUAUUUCAUGAUGUUAAAGAUUAAUUUUUAGAAUGUGUGCAAAUUAAAUAUAUCAUGUUGCUGUCAACACAUAUUCUUCAAAUUUGUUUUCAUGGGUUGAAUGUUUGAUUGAGUUUUAUUUUGUGGCGCGAACAGUGCCACACUGCAUACAAAUGAUUUGGUUGUAUUUAACUGAAAAUAUAAAAAUACAUGUGUAUAUUUUAAGAAUCUAUUUUCACCUAUAUCAUUUUAUAUCUGCGUUUAUGUUAUCUUAUGCCAUAUUAAUCAUAAAUUCAUGAACUCGAUAAA